rnacentral:rRNA from 1 species
CAAUAGCGUAUAUUAAAGUUGUUGCAGUUAAAAAGCUCGUAGUUGGAUUUCUGGUGGGAGCGAUCGGUCUGGCGCUUAGCGCGAGUACUUGCAUCGUCUCCGGCCAUCCUUGGGGAGAGUCUGUCUGGCAUUAGGUUGUCGGGCAGAGGAUCCUCAUCGUUUACUGUGAAAAAAUUAGAGUGUUCAAAGCAGGCUUAUGCCGUUGAAUAUAUUAGCAUGGAAUAAUAAGAUAGGACUUUGAUACUAUUUUGUUGGUUUGCGCACCAAAGUAAUGAUUAAUAGGGACAGUUGGGGGUAUUCGUAUUCCGUUGUCAGAGGUGAAAUUCUUGGAUUUACGGAAGACGAACUACUGCGAAAGCAUUUACCAAGGAUGUUUUCAUUAA